GUAAGUCUCAAACACCCACCCACCCACACCCACACACAGUAGUAGUAAUAAACUCUGUGUCUUGUUUCAGCUUCUACACAGUGAAAGGUGAGAAGAUCUGCUCUGAUCCCAAAACACUCUGGGUCGACAGGAGAAAGAAAGGUUUAAAAGUGAUGAAAAAGUGAAGAAGCCAUGCUUGACCAUGUCUGGAGCCUUCUGUACUGUAGAUCUGCCUCCCGCUACAAGCCUCCCCUACAAGCCUCCCCCUACAAGCCUCCCUCUACAAGCCGCCCUCUACAAGCCUCCCCCUACAAGCCUCCCCCUACAAGCGUCCCUCUACAAGCAUCCCCCUACAAGCCUCCCUCUACAAGUCUCCCUCUACAAGCCUCCCUCUACAAGCCUCCCUCUACAAGCAUCCCCCUACCACCAUCUAGAAUAGUUUUCCGCAUGUUUUCUUUUUCUGUUAUAUUUUGAUUAUUGUAUCUGGUCGUUAGGACCUACACUUUGUUCUGUGGAAAUGGAUUGAAUAAUAUUUAUAUUUUCAAAUAUAUUUCUUUAAAAUACU